GAUUCGAUAAAGAUCUUAAUACGCGAGCUUGGAAGCGGCCGGUCAACUGUCAACAGGUGGCUCUUACCUAACCCAAUUCACACUGUCAACGUCAAGACAAAUUUAAACGUAAAUAUUGAAAAUUUAACGGUAUUGAAAUAUGGAAAAAUUACUGGUACUUCGCUCGAAAGGUAUGGUACGACCUUACUGCGACGAAUGUGCAUCCUUGGUGGACCUGGAACCUUUUUAUACCCAUCGCAGGAAUUUGGAUGCCGACGACUCACGAACAUCCUCGGAACCAAUCGUUGAAUAAAAAUGCAAUUGGGAAAACUUAAGGAAAAUAGAGUUUUUCCUCGUGAAAACGGUGAAAACAGCGGGACAAAAGCUGGCCACAUGUGUACCAGAAAACCGGCUUUUCAGGAAAACCGCGGGAAACUGAAUCAUGAUUUAUAUUAUAUUUUGCCACACCGGGCCUGCCCCUUCAUUUAACAGGUCUUCCCAGGGUAGGUAAACCUUGAAACUUGCAAAAUAGAAUAUGUAAACAAUGCAACAGCAUGAAAGGAAAAUUUCAUGUAAAUAACCGGAAAACUGGAAGCAUAGUGAUGAAAACCCUCUCAGUUUUAGGCAUUUGUGGUUCUUUAUUAUCCUAAGAAUAACCAGGGCUGAAAACAAUAAGGCCAGAGACUACAACAUAGUCAACGGAGAACUAGGCAUAACCUAUAAGAAAUCAAACCUUUCCAGGAUACUAUCAAGCUAGAAACCUCUUUAAGUUGGUUUCUUUAUUUAUGUUUACAAUUAUAAACCCCUCAUGACUCACAGAUCAUUAACUGAAUGUGUGUACUGAAUUUGAACCAAACUUCCGGCAAAUAUCGCAUCGGAUAGAAAACUGUCGACAGAAACCCUAGCAACGAACUGUACGUGUGUAGAGAGCGACGAUAAUAGCCGGACAGGCAGGCCGGACCGUCCAAGGACUGUCGGCCGCCUGAACGUGAAUUAAACCUUCAAGCUUACUUUUAUAGUUUGUAAGAAGUGCCAUUUUUGUAAAAUUAAGCUUUUCAACUAGGAUAAUUUAUAUUGACUUUGUCAAGAAGAUCCAUAUCUUAUGAUAAUAAAUCUUUUUUUGGUUUUGACAUGAAA